GAUCAGACGUAUCUAAUUUAAGUUAAUAGACGUAUCUAAUUUAAUCUUUUGAAUCGUUUGCAUACUGUUUGUUUUAGUUUUGCUUUUAGAAAAGGUUUGGCUGUUUUUGGGCGUAUUUUGUCAUGGUGUCUGCUGCUAUAACUUUUUUUUUAAUGAGUUAUAACAUAUUCUAACGUUAUUACCUACAUAUAAAGGCACAAAUAAAAUUA